rnacentral:rRNA from 1 species
UACGUAGGUGGCAAGCGUUGUCCGGAAUUAUUGGGCGUAAAGCGCGCGCAGGCGGUCCUUUAAGUCUGAUGUGAAAGCCCACGGCUCAACCGUGGAGGGUCAUUGGAAACUGGGGGACUUGAGUGCAGAAGAGGAAAGCGGAAUUCCACGUGUAGCGGUGAAAUGCGUAGAGAUGUGGAGGAACACCAGUGGCGAAGGCGGCUUUUUGGUCUGUAACUGACGCUGAGGCGCGAAAGCGUGGGGAGCAAACAGG